GCCUAUCCUACACAACAGAUAGCCAAAAAUGCUGGUGUAAAUGGAAACACUGUCAUACAGGAGGUUCUGUCAUCAGACGACAUAAGGUAUGGAUACAAUGCUGCAAAAAA